rnacentral:rRNA from 1 species
UACGUAGGGGGCAAGCGUUGUCCGGAAUUAUUGGGCGUAAAGCGCGUGUAGGCGGCUCGGUAAGUCUGCUGUGAAAGUCCAGGGCUCAACCCUGGAAUGCCGGUGGAUACUGUCGAGCUCGAGUCCGGAAGAGGCGAGUGGAAUUCCUGGUGUAGCGGUGAAAUGCGCAGAUAUCAGGAGGAACACCAAUGGCGAAGGCAGCUCGCUGGGACGGUACUGACGCUGAGACGCGAAAGCGUGGGGGGCAAACAGG